rnacentral:rRNA from 1 species
GACGAACGCUGGCGGCGUGCUUAACACAUGCAAGUCGAACGGAAUCCAUGGUGUAGCAAUACACCGGAAGAUUUAGUGGCGAACGGGUGAGGAUCACGUGAGAAACCUGCCCCAGACUUUGGGAUAACAAUUGGAAACGAUUGCUAAUACCGAAUGACGUCGGAGAACCGCAUGGUUCACUGACGAAAGGAAAUCCGGUUUGGGAGGGUCUCGCGGCCUAUCAGCUUGUUGGUGGGGUAAUGGCCUACCAAGGCAACGACGGGUAGCUGGUCUGAGAGGAUGAUCAGCCACACUGGGACUGAGACACGGCCCAGACUCCUACGGGAGGCAGCAGUGGGGAAUCUUGCGCAAUGGGCGAAAGCCUGACGCAGCAACGCCGCGUGCGGGAUGAAGGCCUUCGGGCUGUAAACCGCUUUCAGCAGGAACGAAAAUGACGGUACCUGCAGAAGAAGGAGCGGCCAACUACGUGCCAGCAGCCGCGGUGACACGUAGGCUCCAAGCGUUGUCCGGAUUUAUUGGGCGUAAAGAGCUCGUAGGCGGUUUAGUAAGUCGGGUGUUAAAACUCUGGGCUCAACCCGGAGAGGCCAUCCGAUACUGCUGUGACUUGAGUUCAGGAGGGGAGCGGGGAAUUCCUAGUGUAGCGGUG